AUGUCCUCCCACAGGCCUCAGAGUCAUGUGGUGCCUGCCCAGCUCCUGGCUCUUGCAUAGGGUGCCUGGUGCCUCGUGCAGGACAUCUCCGUCCAGAUGGGGGUGGGUAGGUUGCGGGGACUCCCUUGAGCUGGGGCAAGCUUUCUGCUCAGCAGCAUGCACGCCCUCCCGUCUAGGAAUCCACCCUGAGUGAUGACUCCACACCCCCCAGCAGCAGCCCCAAGAUCCCGAGUGGUCCCCGGCAGGAGACCAAGUGCUCCUACCCCUACCACACGCUGUCCCAGUCUUCGGAUGAGUUCCUGGAUGAACCUCUCCCCACUAUCCACCACUGGACCAGUCAGCAGGUGGGCCAGUGGCUGCACAGCCUCAACCUGGAGCAGUAUGCCGCCGAGUUUGCCGCACGGCAGGUGGACGGGCCGCAGCUCCUGCAGCUGGAUGGAAGCAAACUGAAGAGCCUGGGGCUCAGCAGCUCGCAUGACCGGGCACUGGUGAAGCGGAAGGUGAAGGAGCUGGCAGCGGCCGCUGAGAAGGAGCGCAAGGCCCAGGAGAAGGCUGCCCGGCAGCGCGAGAAGCUCCGGCGCCGGGAGCAGGAGGCCAAGAAGAGCUAGAGGAGAGCGAGGCAGGCAUGGCACCCAGGCACGGGCAGC